rnacentral:misc_RNA from 1 species
UUCGCUAUUACGCCAGCUGGCGAAAGGGGGAUGUGCUGCAAGGCGAUUAAGUUGGGUAACGNCAGGGUUUUCCCAGUCACGACGUUGUAAAACGACGGCCAGUGAAUUGUAAUACGACUCACUAUAGGGCGAAUUGGGCCCGACGUCGCAUGCUCCCGGCCGCCAUGGCGGCCGCGGGAAUUCGAUUUCGUAGGUGAACCUGCGGAAGGAUCAUUACUGAAAAACUAUUUUAAGUUUUUUAUAUCCCAUUGUUUACUUACCCUGUUGCUUUCACUGGACAGAUUUCACCUUGUGUGGGUCCUUUGGCUUGUGUGAAAUACCACUUGCCAAAGAGUUGCCAGUGGUAAGACCUAUUUAUCAAAACUUGAGUUUCAAUAAACACAACUGUCUGAAUAUUUUUUUUCUUUAAUGAAAUAAAACUUUCAACAACGGAUCUCUAGGCUCUUGCAUCGAUGAAGAACGCAGUGAAAUGCGAUAAGUAAUGUGAAUUGCAGAAUCUCGUGAAUCAUUGAAUCUUUGAACGCACAUUGCGCCCUAUGGUAUUCCAUUGGGCAUGCCUGUCUGAGCGUCAGCUCCCCCUCCACUCAAGAAUUAUUUUAUAUGAUACUUGGAUUACUUUGGAGAUGUAACUGUAUAUUAAGUUGCCCUCCAGAAAUUCAUUGGCAGUAUGGUUUGUACUUGGACCAGACGUAAUAGUAAUAAAAUCGUUUGUUUGGGUAUAAUUGAAUUGUACUUGCCUUAACCCCCACCCAUUUUUAUUUUGGGUGACCUCAGAUCAGGUAGGGAUACCCGCUGAACUUAAGCAUAUCAAUAAGCGGAGGAAAUCACUAGUGAAUUCGCGGCCGCCUGCAGGUCGACCAUAUGGGAGAGCUCCCAACGCGUUGGAUGCAUAGCUUGAGUAUUCUAUAGUGUCACCUAAAUAGCUUGGCGUAAUCAUGGUCAUAGCUGUUUCCUGUGUGAAAUUGUUAUCCGCUCACAAUUCCACACAACAUACGAGCCGGAAGCAUAAAGUGUAAAGCCUGGGGUGCCUAAUGAGUGAGCUAACUCACAUUAAUUGCGUUGCGCUCACUGCCCGCUUUCCAGUCGGGAAACCUGUCGUGCCAGCUGCAUUAAUGAAUCGGCC